rnacentral:rRNA from 1 species
GACCUAGCGGCGGACGGGUGAGUAAUGCUUAGGAAUCUGCCUAUUAGUGGGGGACAACAUUCCGAAAGGAAUGCUAAUACCGCAUACGCCCUACGGGGGAAAGCAGGGGAUCUUCGGACCUUGCGCUAAUAGAUGAGCCUAAGUCAGAUUAGCUAGUUGGUGGGGUAAAGGCCUACCAAGGCGACGAUCUGUAGCGGGUCUGAGAGGAUGAUCCGCCACACUGGGACUGAGACACGGCCCAGACUCCUACGGGAGGCAGCAGUGGGGAAUAUUGGACAAUGGGCGAAAGCCUGAUCCAGCCAUGCCGCGUGUGUGAAGAAGGCCUUUUGGUUGUAAAGCACUUUAAGCGAGGAGGAGGCUACCGAGAUUAAUACUCUUGGAUAGUGGACGUUACUCGCAGAAUAAGCACCGGCUAACUCUGUGCCAGCAGCCGCGGUAAUACAGAGGGUGCGAGCGUUAAUCGGAUUUACUGGGCGUAAAGCGUGCGUAGGCGGCUUUUUAAGUCGGAUGUGAAAUCCCUGAGCUUAACUUAGGAAUUGCAUUCGAUACUGGGAAGCUAGAGUAUGGGAGAGGAUGGUAGAAUUCCAGGUGUAGCGGUGAAAUGCGUAGAGAUCUGGAGGAAUACCGAUGGCGAAGGCAGCCAUCUGGCCUAAUACUGACGCUGAGGUACGAAAGCAUGGGGAGCAAACAGGAUUAGAUACCCUGGUAGUCCAUGCCGUAAACGAUGUCUACUAGCCGUUGGGGCCUUUGAGGCUUUAGUGGCGCAGCUAACGCGAUAAGUAGACCGCCUGGGGAGUACG